CAUGCAUGUGAGGGCAUGCAUCUUCUCUGCACAUAACACACUGCCGCAUAUAUCGAUCUCCCCUAUAAGUAGACAUCCAUGCAAUGUGUUUAUGCAGUAGCAAGUUACCAACCAAGCUCAGAAGAUUAAGAAACAAGCUUCUUGAGGUCCAUUUAGCCAGCUGGUCCAUCAACGAUGAGCUCCACAGAUGUCCCAGCUGGCACCGGAGGCCUCGCCGGUGAGUCGUGGCAGAAGUCCUGGCCAGAGGUGGUGGGCAAGUCCAUAAAGGAGGCCAGGGAGAUCAUUCUCAAAGACAAGCCUGACGCCGAUAUCGUCGAGCUGCCAGCCGGGUCGCCGGUGACCCGGGACUUUAAGCCCAACCGCGUGUGCAUCAUCGUCGAUACCGUCGCCGAGGCACCCUUCACUGGCUAGCUCUAGCUUUGCAAGCGCGAAGAAAUGUAUGCGUGCCCCAUCCAUGCAUGCGCAUGAAUAAGUUUUUAGUAAUUGAUGAAUAAAUCCUGGCAUGUCGAGCAUCAGCAUGGCAUGGAUUUGUGUAA